GAGUUGAUCAUGGCUCAGGACGAACGCUGGCGGCGUGCUUAAAACAUGCAAGUCGAACGAGACCUUUGGUCUAGUGGCGAACGGCGGAGUAAUACAUAAGCAACCUGCCUCAAAGACCGGGAUAGCCCCUCGAAAGAGGGAUUAAUACCGGAUGUGGCCUUUUGUGGGCAUCCACGAAAGAUUAAAACGAGUAAUCGGCUUUGAGAGGGGCUUGUGGCCUAUCAGCUUGUUGGUGGGGUAAUGGCCUACCAAGGCUUCGACGGGUAGCGGGUCUGAGAGGAUGAUCAGCCACACUGGAACUGAGACACGGUCCAGACUCCUACGGGAGGCAGCAGUGGGGAAUAUUGGACAAUGGGCGCAAGCCUGAUCCAGCCAUACCGCGUGGGUGAAGAAGGCCUUCGGGUUGUAAAGUCCUUUUGUGGGGAAGAAAAGCAGUCGGCUAAUACCUGGCUGUUCUGACGGUACCCAAAGAAUAAGCACCGGCUAACUUCGUGCCAGCAGCCGCGGUAAUACGAAGGGUGCAAGCGUUACUCGGAAUUACUGGGCGUAAAGCGUGCGUAGGUGGUU
rnacentral:rRNA from 1 species